AUUGAACGCUGGCGGCAUGCUUUACACAUGCAAGUCGAACGGUAACAGGCCGCAAGGUGCUGACGAGUGGCGAACGGGUGAGUAAUGCAUCGGAACGUGCCCAGUCGUGGGGGAUAACGCAGCGAAAGCUGUGCUAAUACCGCAUACGAUCUAUGGAUGAAAGAGGGGGACCGUAAGUCCUCGCGCGAUUGGGGGUGCCGAUGUCAGAUUAGGUAGUUGGUGGGGUAAAGGCUCACCAAGCCAACGAUCUGUAGCGGGUCUGAGAGGACGACCAGCCACACUGGGGCUGAGACACGGCCCAGACUCCUACGGGAGGCAGCAGUGGGGAAUUUUGGACAAUGGGCGCAAGCCUGAUCCAGCAAUGCCGCGUGCAGGAAGAAGGCCUUCGGGUUGUAAACUGCUUUUGUACGGAACGAAAAGGUCUGGGUUAAUACCCUGGGCUGAUGACGGUACCGUAAGAAUAAGCACCGGCUAACUACGUGCCAGCCGCCGCCGUAACAC
rnacentral:rRNA from 1 species